rnacentral:rRNA from 1 species
UACAGAGGGCGCAAGCGUUAAUCGGAAUUACUGGGCGUAAAGCGUGCGUAGGCGGUUUCGUAAGUCGGGUGUGAAAGCCCCGGGCUCAACCUGGGAAUUGCAUUCGAGACUGCGGAGCUAGAGCGCGGAAGAGGGAAGUGGAAUUUCCGGUGUAGCGGUGAAAUGCGUAGAUAUCGGAAGGAACACCAGUGGCGAAAGCGACUUCCUGGUCCAGCACUGACGCUCAGGCACGAAAGCGUGGGGAGCAAACAGG